rnacentral:rRNA from 1 species
GUCUACGACCAUAUCACGUUGAAAACACCGGUUCUUCUCAUCCGACCACAGAGUUAAGUAACGUAGUGAUUAGUUUGUGCUGUACUUAAAUAGUUGACCACUUGGGAAUAAUAAAGAACCAACAUAUAUU